rnacentral:rRNA from 1 species
UACGAAGGGUGCUAGCGUUGUUCGGAAUCACUGGGCGUAAAGCGCGCGUAGGCGGCUUUGCAAGUCAGAGGUGAAAUCCCCAGGCUCAACCUGGGAACUGCCUUUGAAACUGCAAGGCUAGAGUGUCGGAGGGGAUAGCGGAAUUGCUAAUGUAGAGGUGAAAUUCGUAGAUAUUAGCAGGAACACCGGUGGCGAAGGCGGCUAUCUGGACGACAACUGACGCUGAGGCGCGAAAGUGUGGGGAUCAAACAGG